AACGAACGCUGGCGGCAUGCCUAACACAUGCAAGUCGAACGAUGCUUUCGGGCAUAGUGGCGCACGGGUGCGUAACGCGUGGGAAUCUGCCCUUUGGUUCGGAAUAACAGCGAGAAAUUGCUGCUAAUACCGGAUGAUGACGUUAAGUCCAAAGAUUUAUCGCCAGAGGAUGAGCCCGCGUAGGAUUAGCUGGUUGGUGUGGUAAAGGCGCACCAAGGCGACGAUCCUUAGCUGGUCUGAGAGGAUGAUCAGCCACGCUGGGACUGAGACACGGCCCAGACUCCUACGGGAGGCAGCAGUGGGGAAUAUUGGACAAUGGGCGCAAGCCUGAUCCAGCAAUGCCGCGUGAGUGAUGAAGGCUUUAGGGUUGUAAAGCUCUUUUACCCGUGAUGAUAAUGACAGUAGCGGGAGAAUAAGCCCCGGCUAACUCCGUGCCAGCAGCCGCGGUAA
rnacentral:rRNA from 1 species